AGUGAACGCUGGCGGCGUGCCUAAUACAUGCAAGUCGAACGGAGUGGCGCACGGGUGAGUAAUAUAUAGCUAAUCUGCCCCUUGCUGGAGGACAACAGUUAGAAAUGACUGCUAAUACUCCAUAGCAAGGGAUGAGACUAUAUCGUAUAAGCUAGUCGGUGAGGUAACGGCCUACCGAGGCUAUGACGCGUAACUGGUCUGAGAGGAUGAUCAGUCAAAUUGGAAGUGAGACACGGGCCAAACUCCUACGGGAAGCAGCAGAAGGGAAGUUUGCCCAAGGGGCGAAACUCUGAACCAGCAAAGCCGCGUGGAGGAUGACACUUUUCGGAGCGUAAACUCCUUUUGUUAGGGAAGCGUUACCUAACGAAUAAGCACCGGCUAACUCCGUGCCAGCCGCCGCGGUAAUUC
rnacentral:rRNA from 1 species